AACGAACGCUGGCGGCACCCCCCUGCCUAACACAUGCAAGUCGAACGAGAAAGUUUCCUUCGGGGAACUAGUAAAGUGGCGCAAGGGUGAGUAACACGUGAAUAAUCUGCCUACGAAUUCGGGAUAACUCGGCGAAAGUUGUGCUAAUACCGGAUAAGACCACACUCCUAAUGGAGCGUGGCCAAAGGAGUCUCAAACUCCGUUUGUAGAUGAGUUCGCGGACCAUUAGCUUGUUGGCGGGAUAACAGCCACCAAGGCGACGAUGGUUAGCCGGCCUGAGAGGGCGAUCGGCCACACUGGAACUGAGACACGGCCCAGACUCCUACGGGAGGCAGCAGUGGGGAAUAUUGCGCAAUGGGCGAAAGCCUGACACAGCCAUGCCGCGUGUGUGAAG
rnacentral:rRNA from 1 species